GUUGAGGAAACAAACUAAGCUGAAGAGGACAGUGAGUAAUCCAAACAUAAUUCUUGAAGGCAAUAGUUUGGUCUUGGAAUAGAAAAAGUGCAUAUGGAAGAGGAACGCACAUUGAGAGAGUUGUCAGCCCCCCUACUAACCAGCAGCCUCUUUGCAUCACUUGUCCAGCCUUAAAAGCUGUGUUUGAGUUAAAAUAUGG
rnacentral:lncRNA from 1 species